rnacentral:rRNA from 1 species
GACGAACGCUGGCGGCGUGCCUAAUACAUGCAAGUAGGACGCCGUUCCGAACGGGUGAGUAACGCGUAGGUACCUUCCUAUUAGAGGGGGCUAACUAUUGGAAACGAUAGCCAAUACCGCAUACUAGUAGAUGGCCUUUCGUUGUAUUAGCUUGUAGGUAGGGUAACGGCCUACCUAGGCAACGAUCCAUAGCCGACCUGAGAGGGUGAUCGGCGACACUGGGACUGAGACACGGCCCAGACUCCUACGGGAGGCAGCAGUAGGGAAUCUUCGGGAAUGGGGGGAACCCUGACCGAGCAACGCCGCGUGAGUGAAGAAGGGUUUCGGAUCGUAAAGCUCUGUUGUUAAGGAAGUGGUACUUAACCAGAAAGGGACGGCUAACUACGUGCCAGCAGCCGCGGUAAUAC